rnacentral:misc_RNA from 1 species
UCCAGCAGCCGCGGUAAUACGUUCCCGGGCCUUGUACACACCGCCCGUCACACCACGAGAGUUUGUAACACCCGAAGUCGGUGGGGUAACCGUAAGGAGCCAGCCGCCUAAGGUGGGACAGAUGAUUGGGGUGAAGUCGUAACAAGGUAGCCGUAUCGGAAGGUGCGGCUGGAUCACCUCCUUUCUAAGGAAUAUAUACCGUAGUCAAGGACUACAAAAACUUUAAAUCUUUGGCGUUUGUUAACUGGUUGGUGUUUAGUUUUGAGAGAGCAAUCUCUCCAAUGGCAAUGGAUAUUGCUAUUUUUGUUCCUUGAAAACUAGAUAAUCGUAAAAGAAGAAACCAAGUAAAAACCGAGUAAUUGCCAAAUUAGUUUUUCUCUCUUAUUUAUUGAAGAGAAUUAACCUUUAGGUUAAGUUAAUAAGGGCGCACGGUGGAUACCUAGGCACACAGAGA